GGGGUUUUAGCUCAAUUGGAAGAGCAUUGGCUUUGCAAGUCAAAGGUUACAGGUUCGAGACUUGUAAACUCCA
rnacentral:tRNA from 2 species